rnacentral:lncRNA from 1 species
ACAAACCCACUUUCUUCUCCUUUUAGCCUCUUACAAACCCUUUCUUCUCCAUUUGGUCCCCUUUCUUCUCCGUUCAGUCCACUUUCUUCUCCAUCAAGUUCAGUUCUUCGACUCCCUGUUGCUCUGUCGUGUCUCCAUCAUAAAUCCCUUUCUUCUUCGGUUCUUUCAGCGGUGCAUAUCUGUUGGCUCCACUUCCACCGGCGCAUCUUCCUGUUGUAGUGGUAUCUUCUUCCCUGUGUCAGUCCCCUUUUUGUGAACAUUCUUUUUAGAGGAUACUAAGUUAGCAACAGAAAAAGAAUAACAAGUGUUAAACUAUAUUAAUUUAGGAUGAUACUAAUUACCAAGUAGCCAUAGUCACUAUUGUUAGGAUAGUAAGAGAAAAAGAAUAAUAGAUGGCAUUUAAAUAAGUAAUUUAGUAAUGAUACUUUCAUGUUUUGGUUUGGACUUUGGAGUAAUUUAGGUAACAUGUAGCUAUUGUUUCUAAUUUAGUGCAUUAUAACAUUUCGUUAUUGGUUUUAGUAUACUAUCAGCAUGAAUUAUAAAUUUGCGUAUUACAUAUUUGAAAUUUUUUAUUACAUGUUUAUAUAUAUAUAUAUAACUAAAUAGGUCUGGUUAACCGACAUGCGAUUUAAUUACUGAAUCAUUGGUUGAACCACUAAGUCAUUGUACCAAUAUUUUGACCGGUUUGAUGACCGGUACGGUUUUAAUAAUAUUGGUUUAUACUACACAAACCCUCCAAAUUUACAUAUAUACAUUAUACUACUCAUCUUUUAAACAAAAAAAAUGAUAAGUGUAAUGUGGGGACACAUUCAAAUAAUAUAGGAGAAAAUACCUCUUCAUUUUUUGGUUCAUUACAAUAUAAUAGAAGAGUGAUUUAAAUAUUUCUUUAAAAUUAUUGAUACAUUUUGUAACAAACUAAAAAUAAUGAAGAGACAUUAAGUCUUAUACUAUUUAGCAGUGUUAUUAGAACCGGACCGGACGGUCCGACCGGUCUGACCACUGACCGGACUUGAAAACGGCUCUAGUUUGCCGUCUUAACCGAAUGAGAGUUGAAGCGCUUUGACGGCUCACUUAAAAAUAAAAAAAAUGGGACAAUGUUCUAAUAUUUUGUUUUACUACGGUCCAAAAAAAGAUAAAGAGAUAUUAUUUCAAUAUAAUUAUACAUAAUUAUUAAUUAUAUAAAGUUUUACAUUUAUAUAUAACUAUAUAUUUAUAAAUAAAAAUUAUUAAUUAUGUAUGAAAUCAACAGGUUAGAUCGGACGGUUUAAACGGUUAAACCGGUUAAACCUAAUACGAGACCUCUGCUGGUUUGACGUCCGGCUCGGGUUUCACAACACUGCUAUUUAGACUUAUUUUCAUAAUAUAACAUAUUUUAUUUAACUUAAUUACACUCAUAAUUUUAUUGUUUAAAAGAUCACAUUUAUUUUUCAUGCACAACAUCUUAGUGUAAUAUAUGAAUAAAAAUAAGUGUGAUUUAUGUAGGUAUAAAAAAGAGAUAGAAGUUUGUGUAAUUUCACUAAAACUCAGGGGAAGUAUAACUUCUUAGUGUAAUGUAUGAAUAAAAAUAAGGGUGAUUUAUGUAGGUAUAAAAAAGAGAGAGAUAGUUUGUGUAAUUUCACUAAAACUCAGGUUAUGAAAGUGUAAUUUACUCUAAACUCAGGGGAUGAGAGUGUAAUUUACUCUAAAAAUUAUGAUGUAAUGUAAUUUAAUUUAAUUUUUUUUAUCUCUAAGCUCUUACUCUAAUCUCUUUCUAUUUUAUUUUGUGUUUUUUAUGGCAAACCUGUUAUCCCAAUUGAAAAUAGACAGGAACAUGAGAAUUUGCAGGUUUGCGGGCAAGAACUAAAUGGAAAUGAUGGCCCAUUUUCCCACAAUUAGCAUUAAUAAACACCAAACACUAAUAAAAGUAGAUUAUUAAUUAAUAAAUUAAAAAGGUUGGACAAAAAAUAUCUCUAAUAUUUUGUUGAAAUGUACUAGUGAUAGUUACUAUUAUGAAAUUAAAAAUAAAAAAGUCAUAAUUUUCUCACUUCUCCCCCACUCUAAAUUUCCAUUAUUUCCCAAAUAUACUAAUAACUUCAAAAUGGUAAAUUAUUAGUAAUACUAUUAAUAUUAAUUAGAUAAAAAGAAAAAAGUAUAUUCAAAGAUGGAAACAAAUCGAGUCAAAAUUGACUCAGCUUAAUUCAACUCGUUAAGGAUUGGCUCAAGUCAAGUUUCAAGCCGAGUUUAAUGUCGAACUAUUUUUGGACGACUUCAUCAUCUUCAUUCACCUUCACUUUUUUUUCUACCCCGAAUACCGUGUCAUCACUUCCACGGUGAGAUAAAACCUCAUUUUUAAGUAGCCUGUAUUUAAAGUCGAUGUCUCCUUGUGAGGGCUUGAUGGUCAACGAGGAUGGAGUGGGUGCCAUCACCCAUGUUGCCCCUGUGCUGGAAUGAAACAAGCCUUCAUCUUCUUGUUUUGUCAAAUCCAGGGAUUUGAAAUCUUGAGGGAGCACUUCAACGUGAUUGUGAGGGUCACUAAUUUUUUUCUCAAGAGAGACACGUGAAAUAGUUGAUGUAUUUGUGUGUCCUUUGAUAGGUAGAGCUCAUAUGCCACUAGACUGAUCAUAUGGUUCACCUGAAACGGUCCUAAAAAUCGACAAACCAAUUGUGAGAAGAAUGUUUUGAUAUGGCCACCUGUUAAUAUGGUUGUAAUCGUAAAAGGACCCACUC